rnacentral:rRNA from 1 species
GCAAGAUUAAAACUCAAAGGAAUAGACGGGGACCCGCACAAGCGGUGGAGCAUGUGGUUUAAUUCGAAGAUACGCGAAGAACCUUACCUGGGCUUGAUAUCCUAAGAACCUUAUAGAGAUAUGAGGGUGCUAGCUUGCUAGAACUUAGAGACAGGUGCUGCACGGCUGUCGUCAGCUCGUGUCGUGAGAUGUUGGGUUAAGUCCCGCAACGAGCGCAACCCACGUAUUUAGUUGCUAACGGUUCGGCCGAGCACUCUAAAUAGACUGCCUUCGUAAGGAGGAGGAAGGUGUGGACGACGUCAAGUCAUCAUGGCCCUUAUGCCCAGGGCGACACACGUGCUACAAUGGCAUAUACAAUGAGACGCAAUACCGCGAGGUGGAGCAAAUCUAUAAAAUAUGUCCCAGUUCGGAUUGUUCUCUGCAACUCGAGAGCAUGAAGCCGGAAUCGCUAGUAAUCGUAGAUCAGCCAUGCUACGGUGAAUACGUUCCCGGGUCUUGUACUCACCGCCCGUCACACCAUGGGAGUUGAUUUCACUCGAAGCCGGAAUACUAAACUAGUUACCGUCCACAGUGGAAUCAGCGACUGGGGUGAAGUCGUAACAAGGUAACCGUAGGAGAACCUGCGGUUGGAUCACCUCCUUUCUA